GGAGGGUUAGAUGUGUUAGGAGGGUUAGAUGUGUUAGGAGGGUUAGAUGUGUUAGGAGCGUUAGAUGUGUUAGGAGCGUUUGGAGGGUUAGAUGUGUUAGGAGGGUUAGGAGGGUUAGGAGGGUUAGAUGUGUUAGGAGGGUUAGAUGUGUUGGGAGGGUUAGGGGGGUUAGAUGUGUUAGGAGGGUUAGGAGGGUUAGAUCUGUUAGGAGGGUUAGAUGUGUUAGAUGUGUUGGGAGGGUUAGAUGAGUUAGGAGGGUUAGAUGUGUUCGGAGGGUUAGGAGGGUUAGAUGUGUUAGGAGGGUAAGAUAUGUUAGGAGGGUUAUAAGUGUUAGUAGGGUUAGACAGGUUAGGAUGGUUAGGAGGGGUUAGAUGUGUUAGGAGCGUUAGAUGUGUUAGGAGCGUUUGGAGGGUUAGAUGUGUUAGGAGGGUUAGGAGGGUUAGGAGGGUUAGAUGUGUUAGGAGGGUUAGAUGUGUUGGGAGGGUUAGGGGGGUUAGAUGUGUUAGGAGGGUUAGGAGGGUUAGAUGUGUUAGGAGGGUUAGGAGGGUUAGAUGUGUUAGGAGGGUUAGAUGUGUUGGGAGGGUUAGGAAGGUUAGAUGUGUUAGGAGGGUUAGGACUGUUGAGAGGGUUAGGAGGGUCAGGAGUGUUAGAAGGGUUAGAAGGGUUAUGACGGUUAGGAGGGUUAUAAGUGUUAGGAGGGUUUGGAGGGUUAGAUGUGUUAGGAGG
rnacentral:lncRNA from 1 species